UACGUAGGGUGCGAGCGUUGUCCGGAUUUAUUGGGCGUAAAGAGCUCGUAGGCGGUUUGUCGCGUCGGCCGUGAAAACCUACAGCUUAACUGUGGGCUUGCGGUCGAUACGGGCAGACUUGAGUUCGGCAGGGGAGACUGGAAUUCCUGGUGUAGCGGUGAAAUGCGCAGAUACCAGGAGGAACACCGGUGGCGAAGGCGGGUCUCUGGGCCGAUACUGACGCUGAGGAGCGAAAGCGUGGGGAGCGAACAGGAUUAGAUACCCUGGUAGUCCCU
rnacentral:rRNA from 1 species